GACGAACGCUGGCGGCGUGCUUAACACAUGCAAGUCGAACGGAAAGGCCCUGCUUGCAGGGUACUCGAGUGGCGAACGGGUGAGUAACACGUGGGUGAUCUGCCCUGCACUUCGGGAUAAGCCUGGGAAACUGGGUCUAAUACCGGAUAGGAGCCAUUUUUAGUGUGAUGGUUGGAAAGUUUUUUCGGUGUAGGAUGAGCUCGCGGCCUAUCAGCUUGUUGGUGGGGUAAUGGCCUACCAAGGCGGCGACGGGUAGCCGGCCUGAGAGGGUGGACGGCCACAUUGGGACUGAGAUACGGCCCAGACUCCUACGGGAGGCAGCGGGGGGGAAUAUUGCACAAUGGGGGCAAGCCUGAUGCAGCGACGCCGCGUGGGGGAUGACGGCCUUCGGGUUGUAAACUCCUUUCGCUAGGGAAGGAGCUUUUUGUGACGGUACCUAGAUAAGAAGCACCGGCUAACUACGUG
rnacentral:rRNA from 1 species